rnacentral:rRNA from 1 species
UACGAAGGUGGCAAGCGUUACUCGGAAUUACUAGGCGUAAAGGGCAGGUAGGCGGUUUGGUUAGUCUGUUGUGAAAGCUCCUCGCUUAACGGGGAGAGGCCAACAGAUACUGCCAGACUUGAGUAUGGGAGAGGGUACUGGAAUUCCCGGUGUAGCGGUGAAAUGCGCAGAGAUCGGGAGGAACACCAAUGGCGAAAGCAGGUACCUGGACCAUUACUGACGCUCAGCUGCGAAAGCUAGGGGAGCAAACAGG